GACAGAGGGUGCAAACGUUGUUCGGAAUUACUGGGCGUAAAGCGUGUGUAGGCGGUCCACUAAGUCGGGUGUGAAAGCCCUGGGCUCAACCCAGGAAGUGCACUCGAAACUGGCGGGCUAGAGUAUCGGAGAGGUUGGUGGAAUUCUCGGUGUAGAGGUGAAAUUCGUAGAUAUCGAGAGGAACACCGGUGGCGAAGGCGGCCAACUGGACGAAUACUGACGCUGAGACACGAAAGCCAGGGGAGCGAACGGG
rnacentral:rRNA from 1 species